AUUGAACGCUGGCGGCAGGCCUAACACAUGCAAGUCGAACGGCAGCGGGGGAUAGCUUGCUAUCCUGCCGGCGAGUGGCGGACGGGUGAGUAAUGCAUGGGGAGCUGCCCAGUCGAGGGGGAUAACAACUGGAAACGGUUGCUAAUACCGCAUACGCCCUAAGGGGGAAAGGUGGGGAACUUCGGUCCUACCGCGAUUGGAUGCGCCCAUGUGGGAUUAGCUAGUUGGUGAGGUAACGGCUCACCAAGGCGACGAUCUCUAGCUGGUCUGAGAGGAUGACCAGCCACACUGGAACUGAGACACGGUCCAGACUCCUACGGGAGGCAGCAGUGGGGAAUAUUGCACAAUGGGGGAAACCCUGAUGCAGCCAUGCCGCGUGUGUGAAGAAGGCCUUCGGGUUGUAAAGCACUUUCAGUCAGGAGGAAGGGGUGAUGGCUAAUAUCCAUCAUCAUUGACGUUACUGACAGAAGAAGCACCGGCUAACUCCGUGCCAGCCGCCGCCGUAA
rnacentral:rRNA from 1 species